UUUCCGUAGGUGAACCUGCGGAAGGAUCAUUACCGUGAGAGAAUCGAACGAUUCGCGAACGUUGGGCAGUACCUACGUGGGCAGUACCCACGAAACCCCACAGAGCAAGGAACGAAGUACACCUGCAGUUGUGGGGCGGUAGAAGUGGUGCACCUACCGAUGCAGGUGGCGCGGUGUCCUAAAAGCGGCCAGGCUAUGAAGUUUGGGGCGGCUGCGGUCGCCCGGAUGGAGUCGCCGCUUACGCAGAUCCUGACGGUUGACAGUAGCAAAUAUGCACAAACGGGCAUGGCAGAAUCGGCAUUUGUGAAUACCGGUUGUCGAAACUUCGGGGUACCUAUCGUGCGGGCGUCGAUCGACCGUAUUUGUCGGCGUCCAGAAGCACGGAGAGCAGGGCUUCUUGACCCGUCGCGACGGUUUAAAGAAACGUCGCUGUCAGGACCACGAAGUGGCCGGCAGCGCGUUCGCCCCGAUGUUUUCGUUCGUUUUUUCCGUACGGUUGCUAUCCGACGCCUGCCCGUCGGCGGAGACCGCCCUUGUCGUCCGGGGCGGACAAAGUCGAACGCGGUACGGCGCUGCCCACAGACAGUAACUUACAACUCUAAGCGGUGGAUCACUCGGCUCGUAUGUCGAUGAAGAGCGCAGCCAGCUGCGUGAAGUAAUGUGAAUUGCAGGACACAUUGAACAUCGAUAUCUUGAACGCACAUUGCGGCCUCGGGUAAUCCCGAGGCCACGCCUGUCUCAGGGUCGGUUGAACCUAUCUAUCGUCGGUCGACCGUAUUUGCCGACGCAUUGGAUCGUCGCGGAGCGCGCCGACCGUAAAGGCGCGAUCGGCCGACCGUAAUUGCCGAUCGCGCUGCGCGCGCCACGUCGUCCGAAGUACAGACGGGUCUGCCUGAGCCUUGCCGACCGCACGUCCUAAGUCCGCCGUUGCGGACGGGGACGGCGACUCGGACCGUAAGAGAAGCCGUCGCCUGUUGCUCUGGCGGUACGGUCGGCGUAGGCCGCGGCAAGACCCAAGAACGAGAAGACGCGCAGCAGCGGCAGUCAUCGCCAUCGUCCUCAAUGUGGCGGAGACAGCCGCAGCGGCCGUCAUCUUUUUCUUCGACCUGAGAUCAGACGAGAUUACCCGCUGAAUUUAA
rnacentral:rRNA from 1 species